rnacentral:rRNA from 1 species
CAGCCCCUCGAGUGGUGGGGAUGAUUAUUUGGCCUAAAGCGUCCGUAGCCGGCCGUGUAAGUCUUCCGUUAAAUCCAGCGUCUCAAGCGUUGGACUGCGGGAGAUACUGUACGGCUAGAGAGUGGGAGAGGUCAGCGGUAUUCUGGGGGUAGGGGCGAAAUCCUUUGAUCCCCGGAGGACCACCAGUGGCGAAGGCUGCACACUAGAACACGUCUGACGGUCAGGGACGAAAGCUGGGGUAGCGAACCGGAUUAGAUACCCGCGUAGUCC